UUUAUUUUUUUUAUUUUUUUUUCUUUCAUUUUUGUUUCUCUACAUUUGCAAAAAAUUAAGUGGAACUAUUUUUUUUUUUUUUUUAACUUGGCCAGUAAUGAAAUUUUAGCAAUCAUCUAAGUGUCAAAAAGCAUAUACUCUCAUUUGUAAACUCUCCAUGGCUUUCUGUAAAGGUUUUAUCAUAAUGUAAAUAAAUCUAACUAUACUGUAAGUGUCUGUGUUAAAUCUUUUCUCAGUUGUCCAAUGUGCCUUUAAACCCUGGCAUUUUUAGUAUAUCCGGC